rnacentral:rRNA from 1 species
GACGUAGGGCGCGAGCGUUGUCCGGAUUUAUUGGGCGUAAAGAGCUCGUAGGCGGCUUGUCGCGUCGUUCGUGAAAACCUGCAGCUCAACUGCAGGCUUGCGGUCGAUACGGGCAGGCUAGAGUUCGGUAGGGGAGACUGGAAUUCCUGGUGUAGCGGUGAAAUGCGCAGAUAUCAGGAGGAACACCGGUGGCGAAGGCGGGUCUCUGGGCCGUAACUGACACUGAGGGACGAAAGCUAGGGGAGCGAAUGGG